GUGGAUGUAGCUCAGUGGUAGAGCACCUGGUUGUGGUCCAGGCGGCCGCGGGUUCGAUCCCCGUCAUCCACCCA
rnacentral:tRNA from 6 species